rnacentral:rRNA from 1 species
UACGGAGGGUGCGAGCGUUGUCCGGAAUCACUGGGCGUAAAGGGUGCGUAGGUGGCCUGGCAAGUUAUUAGUGGUAAAUCGAGGCUCAACCUCGUGGAAACGUAGUAAUACUGGUACCGGCUUGAGUGGCAGGAGAGGUUAACGGAACUCUAUGUGGAGGGGUAAAAAUCCAUAGAUAUAUAAGAUGAACAUCAAUAACGGCGAAGGCAGUUAACUAUUCUGUUACUGACACUGAGGCACGAAAGCGUGGGGAGCAAAACGG